CCCUGCGCUCAGUGAGGGGAGGCCGGUUUCGCAGCGGGGGAGACCCCCGGGGAUGGGUGCUCCCGGAAAAAGUGCUUAAAGGAGGAGCAAAAGGCCGCAAAAUCAGAGAGGUGAUAAUCCCAAAAUCGCACCACUGGGACUAUAGCGAUAGUCCCAAAAUGUGGCAGCAUUCCUGUCAAUCACAGCAUCUCAAGAUGCUGCAAACCCAACAGGAAGAAGAUAGACGGGAGAACCUCAGGAAAGAUACAGCCUGACUGCUGGGAGUCCAGUCGUUAAUGGGAGGAAGGAGGAGACUGAAAUUCACUAAUGAAUUAUCUGCUCUGUCUGAAAAGAAAUGGAGAGGUUGCUUCAGGUUGGGGAGCCAUGCUUCAAAAUCUCUCUGCUCAGCUGCAGAGUGGAGAUAUCUGGGAAUGCCCAAGGUACAAGGCCAGUGCUGGACCUCUUUGCACAGCCAAAACCUUUGAAUUCACCUGCAAGCAGAGGUGCCACAUUUCAGCACUUCAGGAGAGCUGAUCUAGAAAGCGGUAUUAAAGGGAAGAGUGAGAGUAGCCGCCUGUGUGUGUGGUGUCCUUCACUUUAAUUAGGUUAGUUUCUUUCAUGGUAAGUGCUGUCAUACCAAGCUGAAGA